rnacentral:misc_RNA from 1 species
GAUCUUCCAGAAGCAGGGCCGGGCCCUGGCGGCCAAGGCGGCCAAGGACGUGCGCAUCCUGGUGGUCGGCAACCCGUGCAACACGAACUGCCUGAUCGCCUACCGGAACGGCCGGGACAUCCCGGCGACCCAGUGGGGGGCCAUGACCCGGCUGGACCACAACCGGGCGGUCGGGGCCCUGGCCAAGAAGGCCGGCGUGCUGAACGAGGCCGUCACCUGCGUGACCAUCUGGGGGAACAACUCGAACACCCAGUUCCCGGACUUCACGAACGCCCGGAUCGGCGGGAAGCCGGCCACCCAGGUCAUCACUGACCGCGGCUGGCUGGAGACGGUGUUCGUCCCCCAGUGCCAGGAGCGGGGCAAGGCGG